GUCCUAUAACGAGCGCAACCCCUAUCGUUAGUUGCUAGCAGGUCAUGCUGAGGACUCUAACGAGACUGCCGGUGCAAACCGUGAGGAAGGAGGGGAUGACGUCAAAUCAUCACGGCCCUUACGUCCAGGGCCACACACGUGCUACAAUGGUGCAUACAGAGAGCAGCCAUCUGGUGACAGAGAGCGAAUCUAUAAAGUGCAUCACAGUUCGGAUUGUAGUCUGCAACUCGACUACAUGAAGCUGGAAUCGCUAGUAAUCGCAGAUCAGCCAUGCUGCGGUGAAUACGU
rnacentral:rRNA from 1 species